GGCAGGGGGUGUUUGUUUUGUGUGUUUUGGGGGUUUUGGUUCUAGUUUUCAAUUUCUAUGUUUCUUUUUCCAUGUUUGGCCGAGUAUGGUUUCCAAUCAGAGGCAGGUGUUUUUCAUUGUCUCUGAUUGGAAGCCAUACUUAGGCAGCCUGUUUUUUCCUUUGGGUUUGUGGGUGGUGGUUUUCCGUAUUAGUCUUUGUACCUUAAGGAACUGUUGGUCGUUGUUUGUUUAUUUUGUUUAAGUGUUCUCUAAAAAUAAAAGUUAAGAUGAGCACUAAACCAGCUGCGCUUUGGUCCCCUUUCAUCGACGCUUGUGACAGAACCACCCACCAAAAGAAGACCAAGCAGCGGGGUAAGGAGCUUGAGUCAUGGACAUGGGAGGAGAUCCUCGAUGGAAAGGGUCCAUGGAGCCAGGCUGGGGAGUACCAGCGCCCAAAGGAGGAGCUGGAGGAGGCGAAGAGGGAACGACGGAGGUACGAGGCGUUGUAUCCUCCUAUUCAGGAGGUGAAGAGGCAGGGGGGGCAUAAGGGGAGUUUUGCUAGGUCAGGGGGGAACCCAGACUUAACUUCCCGGGCUCUUCGGAGGGAGCCGUGGAGCAAACCAGAGCCGAGAAAGGAGUCGAGCGCCGAGCUUGACGCGAGAUUCCGGAAGGAGGUACUGGCGGAGAGGACACGACUGAGCAGGCGUGCAGAGGGGCGAGCGAUGCAUUACGGGGUGAUGCGCACUAUCUCGCCCAUCCGCACGCACAGUCUGGUGCGGUCGGUACGGGCUCCGCAGCGUUGCCGUGCUAGAGUUGGCACUCAGCCGGGAAGGAGUGUGCCUGCUCAGCGUAUCUGGCCACCAGUGCGUCUCCUCGGCCCAGCUUAUCCUGCGCCCGCUCUACGCACGGCAGCCCUCAUUCUCCAGCACAGCCCAGUUCGCCCUGUGCCAGCGCUCCGCCCGUGCCGGGCUACAGGGACCAUCCAGCCAGGACGGAGUGUGCCAGCCCUGAGCUCCAGACCUCCGGUGCGCCUCCACGGCCCAGUGUACCUCGUGCCUGCUCUGCGCACCCAGUCUCCUGUAAGUCUUCCCAGUCUGGGGAGACCGGUCCCAGCUCCACGCAGGAGGCCUCCAGUAACGCUCCUCAGCCCAGAGCCUCCAGCGACGCUCCUCAGCCCGGAGCCUCCAGCGACGCUCUUCAGCCCGGAGCCUCCAGCGACGCUCCCCAGUCAGGAGCCUCCAG
rnacentral:lncRNA from 1 species